UCCACAGGAGGCAGGAGUAAGCUGUGGCAGUUGCUGAAGGCCAAGAAUGGUGAGCAGAUGCCCAUGCAGAGUGGCAGCAUUCCUAGGAAAGGAAAGAUAGAACAUACGGGGGAGUAAAGGAAAUCUGGUUGUCACCUUCCAAGAAGAAAGCCAUGAACAGGAUCAGCAGGGGGAAAGAAGACCUGUGAUUUGCUGCACAAUAUUUCGUACAGAAGCACAGCAACAACCUUCCCAAGGGCUCCACCCCUCAAAGCUCAAUUUGGAAAUAACCCCACAUUUGAUCUGAAGGUGGGCCCCCUGCCGAGAGGUGCACCCCUGAAGCCGUGCCGGCAAGGAGCCAAAGCCGGGGAAUCACCUGUCUUUUGUGCAUUUUUACGUCUAAGCCUGGAUGAGGGGAAAGGCCCACAGAGCGAAUGCACGGGAAAUAAAUACGCCUGUGCAGGAAGGCCAGGGCC